rnacentral:tRNA from 1 species
GGGGAUGUGGUGAAAUUGGCAGACGCGCUGGACUCAAAAUCCAGUGGAGGCAACUCCGUGUGGGUUCAAGUCCCUCCAUCCCCACCA